GAAGCUGGCAAAAGGGCUCUCCCAGCACUCAGAAUUCUUUUUGCCAUUGCUUUGCUACGCAGAAAUGCAUGAUAGUGGAGGUCAGGCAGCAGCACAAGACGUGCCUCGGAAGAGGAUGGUUGCAGAAGCAGGGGCUUGCAGAGGAUGCCCAGGCUUCAGCUGGCAAUCUGUGGUGGACUCCUAUAGCCUGAGUGCCUAGCUGGAUGAAGUAGGCUGAGUCUUCAGUUUCUGCAGCAGCUGUGUCUCUGGCAGACACACAGAAGAGCCGUCUGCAGAGAUAAGAGUCAGCCUCCCUGCGGCACCUCCUGAUCUGAACUCCCGCAGACUCCCAGCACUUCUGAUCCAGACCUGAGCUUGGUGGCACAAGCCUGCUUCUAGCGCUAGUGGAGAUAGCUGAACCACUACAGCAAUCACAGCUGAGCGCUAGGAUAUGGAAGAACAGAGCAGUGGCAUGCAGUUGCAGAUACACUCUAGCACAAGAUGGAGCAUACAUUGAAAACCUGUGGAGUAACAGCAUGAGACUACAGGAAGAAAACCUGGCUUUAAAAGAGGAGCUCAGACAGGAAAGCAGCAAUAUUCCAAGAGAAUUUCCGAGUCAAGCAGGAGAGCAACUGGCUCCUCAAAGAGAUCCCUAAAACAUUCAGCUCCGCAUUGGAGCAGGCUCCUCAGAUGUGAUUCAUUCCAGCCGCUCUGCUGAGCCGUGCGGCGGUGUCCGGCUGCCAUCUGCCGUCCGACGGCCGGCGGGGGCCACGGCGGGGCAGGGACACACGAAGCAUCCCAGGCCCGACGACAGGGCGCUCGGAGUGGCAAUCUCUGGUCUCCGUCUAAGCCGUGAGCAAACCCUGCUCAGACUCACCAGGGCCCCCCCCCCGCCGUAUCUCCCGCAUUCCUGCGGCAGAGCUGGUAUUUCUUAUUGUUCUCCCCGUCUCUGGGGGAGCAGCUGCUGCUGCCUGACCGGCCUGCCGGGGCAGGAGCUGGCCGAGUGCUGUGCUGCGGGUCCCAGAGCUAGCCGGGGGCGCUGGAAAAACCGUGUCAGUCUUCUCGCCCGGCUGCGUCACGAUGGGAGCAGGGGCAAGAACGAAGAACUGAAUGAGCAGCGAGCGGCCGUGCAGCACCAGUCUGCUGCGGGUGCUGUGGGCUCGGCACAGGAGCGUCCUAGUCUGUAUCCUUCCUAGGAGCACGCCUCGUCUGCCGAGUGUCAGGACUGAGGAACCAGUACUCCAGAGGAACCAGUACUCCAGAAGACCUCCCCAGCACCCACACACUGUGUUGGGGCUGAGCAGUACAAGCUUUGUCAGAGUGGAAAGAGAAACACCCAUGCUCUGGAUUUUUAUCAUGCAAGUCAGUGAGCACCGUUCAGAAGAAUGAAGAAAAACAGGCCUGGGGAGAAGGAUGCACAAGGCAGCUGGGAAAGCACUAUUUUCAGGCUCGUGGGACGCCUCUGGGAUCAGAUACACUGUCUCUGGGAUAACAGACCAAACUGGCUCAUGAGCUCAAGGACAACGUGCUACAACAACAGCAGUAAUUGUCACACAGCAGAAGACCUGGUUCACUUCACGUUUGUGUACACAGCCUUGUGCUCCUCUCUCUGCCUCGCAGGCGGGUGCUGCAAUGGAGCUGACGGGUGGUUUUCACCCGCUCGGGACACGCAGGGAACGUGUUAGCGAGGAAAGCUGCGGCGCUUCGGGGCUGAGCCACCACCAGAUGGCAGCUGGAGCCCAGGUAUGGCAGCGUCAGGGCUGGGCUCUGCCUCCUGCUGCCACCGCCAGGGGCACGGCACCGGGAUGGAAAAGGCCUGUCCCACCAGCAGCAGCAAGUGAACCUGACUCAUCCGGGGGACAAACCCAGUGGGCUGAGCCCUCCAGUGCAUCUCCUCGGGGAUCAAGAACAGCAGACACAGCUCUCCACUGGCCUCCGUGUACUUUCCAGGGCUCCUCAGGUGGAACAGAGAUAUCCAGAGCAGCAUGUCAUUGAGGAUAUCUGCACCACUAGCAGCCUGACUGGUUUCUUGGAAUAAGGAAGUGUGCUGUGACCCUUGGCUUCACAGGAAAUCGCAUGGCACCGGGGUGCAGUUUUCUAUGCUGCACUGCUUCAUGAGGUGUGGUGAGGCUGACUCACAGCUCUCCCUUUUCUCUGAAUGCUGUGUUUACUGAGGCUUUAAAGGGCUCAUUCUGUGGUGUUGUUCUCAAAAUGCGAUACGUUUUACGUUUAACUUUAACCAAUCUCCUCCCACACUUUUACCUCACACAAAGCUUUCUGAAUGUGUCAGAUCACGCUGGGACAACAAAGCUAAAACCAGACUUUCUCAUUUCCUCUUCUAGUAGUGACCAAGAAAUAACGCCACGUACACGGAUGACAUUUUAAUGAAGGGCUGUUGUGCCUGCAGAGGCACAUGUCUGUGUGUACCAGGGUCCUCUCAUGCUGCAGACAUGUUUCCCCAUUAACUUGCUGGCACAACAGGUCUGCUCCUGUUCCAGUGUAGUGCUCCAUUAGUGUAGAUCCAAUUUCCCAUCUGGUGUGCUUUGUGUUUCAGCAGACAGCUAAACUGCACCCUCAGUGUAGUAUUAUUGAGCAAUGCUGCCUGCAGUAGCUGAGCAUCAUUGUUUUGUAUCAAGGUCUACUGAAUAUCAGCAUCUAAAGUAGUACUGGUAUUAUCUGUUACUGUUCCCUAAUAAAUAUUAUGGUUUUAAUCCAAACCCCACUGAUCAGAUCAUUAAAAGUAUAUUUCUUCCAUCAAAGUCAUACUUCCGUACCACGGUUACUGGAUAUUAAACUCCAGUAACCCAAAAGAAACAAAUGCAAAAAAAGACAUUAAUUAAGAAAUGUAAAUGACUUCAUAU